CCUACGGGGGGCAGCAGUGAGGAAUAUUGGUCAAUGGGCGCGAGCCUGAACCAGCCAAGUCGCGUGAGGGAAGACGGUCCUAUGGAUUGUAAACCUCUUUUGUCGGGGAGCAAAAGACGCCACGCGUGGCGUUCCGAGAGUACCCGACGAAAAAGCAUCGGCUAACUCCGUGCCAGCAGCCGCGGUAAUACGGAGGAUGCGAGCGUUAUCCGGAUUUAUUGGGUUUAAAGGGUGCGCAGGCGGAAGAUCAAGGCAGCGGUAAAAUUGAGAGGCUCAACCUCUUCGAGCCGUUGAAACUGGUUGUCUUGAGUGAGUGAGAAGUAUGCGGAAUGCGUGGUGUAGCGGUGAAAUGCAUAGAUAUCACGCAGAACUCCGAUUGCGAAGGAAGCAUACCGGCGCUCAACUGACGCUCAUGCACGAAAGUGUGGGUAUCGAACAGGAUUAGAUACCCUAGUAGUC
rnacentral:rRNA from 1 species